GCUCAAUCAAUCAUGACACUUUCAUGUAAAAUCUUUAGUAUUGUGAGCCCUUAAAAGGGACAGAAUUUGUGCACUCAAGAAGCUCGGAUUUUGAGAUGUUAGUCUGCUGAUGCUUCCAGCUGACUAAAGCCACUUCCUCCACUCCCUCAGUGUCUGUGAGGUUUUGUCUGCAGCUCAUCCUGCUACAUUUCUUGUUUCCCUGAUCAGGAAGCGAGGUAACUGACGGACGGCUGAGGCAUCCCCUUAGGCAGCUUAGGCCUGCUCUAUGGAGCAUCCCUGUGGGAGACUCUGGCCUGCCUUAGUGACGUGAUCCAAAGAGUGAUCCCAGGUAGGCAAUUGCCCUGGUGGAAUGCCUUGCCAGAGCAGCAUGUGCCAGGCCCACAUGGAGGAUCAACGCAGUGGCUGAACACAAGGGAGGAACUGGCACUUGGAGUGCAGACAUCUGAAACUUGGUGACCAUGUGUGGAUCAAGGACUGGAAUAUAGCUCCUUUGUGGCCAUGGUGGAAGGGACCCCAUACCAUUAUCCAGACCACUCCCACAGCUGUGAAGAUAGAAGGAAUUCCAGACUAGAUUCACCAUAGCUGCAUAAAGCCCACAGCCACUGGAACCUGGGAGGCCAAACCAAGCCUAGACAACCCCUGCAAAGCAACCCUGAGGGGGACGACAAGCCCUGCUCCAGUCACACCCAGAACCGGACUGGUCUACGCAUGGCCAAAGCAUGAGGAAAAUUGUCAUGGGACUUAUUUUCCUUUUAACAUGGAUUUGUGUGGUAAAAGCUUCCACUGCUUCUUCCCACACAGAGGAAUGCUUUCAGUGCAUACAUCAGGUCACUGAGCAUAUAGAAAUCUCGGGCAAGACUGAUUGAAAAUAAAAGAUAAGAGAAACAACUGAAUGGUCUCAAGCAUCCCAGCCAAGACUGGUUGCUGAGUGAUUGAAAGCUGAUUCCCAGAUGCGUGAAAGAGCCCAGGCAGGGCGGAGGGCCACCUAGAAUGAGAAAAACUUAUGGUACUUUCAUCUGCCACCGAAUGUCCUGGGUCUUUAAAACCUCCAAAACUCUAACUGAACCGGAAGCUAUGUGUGGUUUUUGCAUGAAGAGGAGCAGGAGUCUCGAAGGCACAGCCAGGGAGUUUCGCAAUACACUGUCCUGCUGAAUACUGAGGGGCAUCCAUGGUAGGUCUCUAGAUUUCCUUCUCUUCUUCAAGGCUCUCUCCUGCAAAGGAUGCCAUAUUUUUCUCUGGUUCUGAUUCUCUGACUCUGAUUCUCUGAUUCUGAACUUUGUCUUCUCAAUUCACAGAGUUUCACUGGGCUUUUUCUGAAAUCCACUUCCAUGUGCAGUACCCUGGAAACUCUCUGUUUACGAGCCUGGAAAGCUGUGGGGUUCAAUUCCUUGUUUUGCCCAUCUCUCAUUGCCUUUUGCUGACUGUCAUUAAAAGUG
rnacentral:lncRNA from 1 species